AGUAAAGUGGCGCACGGGUGAGUAACGCGUAGAUAACCUUCCCUAUAGUUUGUGAUAACCCUACGAAAGUAGAGCUAAUAAUGAAUAAUAACUUUGUUUGCAAGGAUAAGGUUUGAAAGCCGCAAGGUGCUAUUGGAUGGGUCUGCGUAUCAUUAGCUAGUAGGUUGGGUAAAGGCCGACCUAGGCAACGAUGAUUAGCGGAUUUGAGAGGAUGAUCCGCCACACUGGAACUGAGAUACGGUCCAGACUCC
rnacentral:rRNA from 1 species